UAAAAUCUACAUAAACAAAAAAAAAUGACAACCAAAAGCUUACUAUUAAUUUUUGUUGCACUAAUUGUUGUUUUAAGUUCAUGCAAUGCAUUUAGAGUAGUACAAAAAAGAUACAAAUUGUGAAAAUGUGGAUACUUGAUUUGCUUCUUGUGAAGAUUUUGUAGAUGGAAUUACUGAAUAUGCAACUUGGGAUUGUUAUAGCAAUAUUCAUCUUAGCGCAUGGAUUGUUCUGCUUUAGUAAAAACUUAUAUUUGAGUAAAAGGAGCUGUUUGGGGUCUAAUUAAUGCUAUGUUUUUAUUUUCAUCUUUUUCUGAACUUUUAAUUUGGAAGAAUAAUGAUGUGUUAUUAUAUUAAAUAAAUAAUUGCAUACUCUUAUUAAUUGCAAUUCGAUAA